rnacentral:tRNA from 1 species
UCCCUGGUGGCCCAGUGGUUAGGGGUCUAGCAUUGUCACUGCUGUGGUGCAGGUUUGAUCCCUGGCCUGGGAA